rnacentral:rRNA from 1 species
GACGAACGCUGGCGGCGUGCCUAAUACAUGCAAGUAGAACGCUGAAGAGAGGAGCUUGCUCUUCUUGGAUGAGUUGCGAACGGGUGAGUAACGCGUAGGUAACCUGCCUGGUAGCGGGGGAUAACUAUUGGAAACGAUAGCUAAUACCGCAUAAAAUGGAUUAUCGCAUGAUAAUCCAUUGAAAGGUGCAAAUGCAUCACUACCAGAUGGACCUGCGUUGUAUUAGCUAGUUGGUGGGGUAACGGCUCACCAAGGCGACGAUACAUAGCCGACCUGAGAGGGUGAUCGGCCACACUGGGACUGAGACACGGCCCAGAGUCCUACGGGAGGCAGCAGUAGGGCAUCUUCGGCAAUGGACGGAAGUCUGACCGAGCAACGCCGCGUGAGUGAAGAAGGUUUUCGGAUCGUAAAGCUCUGUUGUAAGAGAAGAACGAGUGUGAGAGUGGAAAGUUCACACUGUGACGGUAUCUUACCAGAAAGGGACGGCUAACUACGUG